rfam:Listeria monocytogenes EGD-e, complete genome
CGUGAAAUAAAUCACAAACAAAUACCCCCUUUAUUUGAUUGUGUGAAUUUCUCCUUUUGAUUGCGCUGUAAGAAGCCGUGGCAUUUUGCUACGGCUUUUUACGUUA